GUGGGGAAUAUUGGGCAAUGGGGGAAACCCUGACCCAGCAACGCCGCGUGAGGGAAGAAGGUUUUCGGAUUGUAAACCUCUGUCCUUGGUGACGAAGGAAGUGACGGUAGCCAAGGAGGAAGCCCCGGCUAACUACGUGCCAGCAGCCGCGGUAAUACGUAGGGGGCAAGCGUUGUCCGGAAUGACUGGGCGUAAAGGGCGUGUAGGCGGCCGAUUAAGUCUGGAGUGAAAGUCCUGCUUUCAAGGUGGGAAUUGCUUUGGAGACUGGUUGGCUUGAGUGCGGAAGAGGUAAGUGGAAUUCCCAGUGUAGCGGUGAAAUGCGUAGAGAUUGGGAGGAACACCAGUGGCGAAGGCGACUUACUGGGCCGUAACUGACGCUGAGGCGCGAAAGCGUGGGGAGCGAACAGGAUUAGAAACCCGGGUAGUCC
rnacentral:rRNA from 1 species